GGGGAUGUAGCUCAAACGGUAGAGCGCUUUCUUUGCAUGCGGGAAGUAUGAGGUUCGAUACCUCGCAUCUCCA
rfam:Picea glauca, whole genome shotgun sequence.